CCCUUAGAUGUUCUGGGCCGCACGCGCGCUACACUGACGAAUGCAACGAGCUUAUAACCUUGGCCGAAAGGUCUGGGUAAUCUCCAAAUUUCGUCGUGAUGGGGAUAGAUUAUUGCAAUUAUUAAUCUUCAACGAGGAAUGCCUAGUAAGCGCAAGUCAUCAGCUUGCGUUGAUUACGUCCCUGCCCUUUGUACACACCGCCCGUCGCUCCUACCGAUUGAACCGAAACGUGAGUGUUUUGGAUCGGAAUUCGCUGGGGAAACUCGGUCGUUUUCUGAGAAAUCAAGCAAACGUUUCUGUUUAGAGGAAGGAGAAGUCGUAACA
rnacentral:rRNA from 1 species